rnacentral:rRNA from 1 species
UACGAGGGGGGCGAGCGUUGUUCGGAAUUAUUGGGCGUAAUGAGCGUGUAGGCGGUUUGGUAGGUCCGUUGUGAAAACUCGAGGCUCAACCUCGAGACGCCGGCGGAAACCAUCAGGCUAGAGUCCGGAAGAGGAGAGUGGAAUUCCUGGUGUAGCGGUGAAAUGCGCAGAUAUCAGGAAGAACACCCGUGGCUAAGGCGGCUCUCUAGUACGGUACUGACGCUGAGACGCGAAAGCGUGGGGAGCGAACAGG